AUGCAAGUCGUACGAGAGUUUUUAACUCAAGUGGCGGACGGGUGAGUAACACGUGAGAAUUUACCUUUAGGAGGGGGAUAACAAUUGGAAACGAUUGCUAAUACCCCAUAUGCUUUUUUAAGUGAAAUGGAUUUUUCCGCCUAAAGAAAAGCUCGCGGCUGAUUAGCUAGUUGGUAAGGUAAUGGCUUACCAAGGCGACGAUCAGUAUCUGGUUUGAGAGGACGAUCAGACACACUGGAACUGAGACACGGUCCAGACUCCUACGGGAGGCAGCAGUGGGGAAUUUUCCGCAAUGGGCGAAAGCCUGACGGAGCAAUACCGCGUGAGGGAAGAAAGCCUACUGGGUUGUAAACCUCUUUUUUCAGGGAGGAAAAAAAUGACGUGUACCUGAAGAAUAAGCAUCGGCUAACUCCGUGCCAGCAGCCGCGGUAAGACGGAGGAUGCAAGUGUUAUCCGGAAUUACUGGGCGUAAAGCGUCUGUAGGUUGUUUAAUAAGUCAACUGUUAAAUCUUGAGGCUUAACUUCAAAACAGCAGUCGAAACUAUUAGACUAGAGUAUAGUAGGGGUAAAGGGAAUUUCCAGUGGAGCGGUGAAAUGCGUAGAUAUUGGAAAGAACACCGAUGGCGAAAGCACUCUACUGGGCUAUUACUGACACUCAGAGACGAAAGCUAGGGUAGCAAAUGGGAUUAGAUACCCCAGUAGUCCUAGCUGUAAACAAUGGAUACUAGAUGUUGAACAGAUCGACCUGUGC
rnacentral:rRNA from 1 species